UUCCCUAAGAUUAACCCAUGCAUGUUUUUGACAUUUAAAAAAUGGACUGCUCAGUAAUACUCACUUUAUUUUAAGUAAAUUUUUAAUUAAAUACGUUAAAGUGUAGAUAAGAUGUUUACCGUAAGAGUGAGACCUAUCAGCUAGUUGUUAAGGUAAUGGCUUAACAAGGCUGUGACGGGUAACGGUAUUACUUUGUAAUAUUCCGGAGAAGGAGCCUGAGAGACGGCUACUAAGUCUAAGGAUUGCAGCAGGGGCGAAACUUGACCUAUGGAUUUUAUUUGAGGCAGUUAUGGGAAGUAAUAUUAUAUUGUUUCAUAUUUUAAAAGUAUAUGAGGUGAUUAAUUGGAGGGCAAAUCAAGUGCCAGCAGCCGCGGUAAUACUUGUUCCAAGAGUGUGUAUGAUGAUUGAUGCAGUUAAAAAGUCCGUAGUUUAUUUUUUUAUAAAGCAA
rnacentral:rRNA from 1 species